rnacentral:rRNA from 1 species
UACGGAGGGUGCAAGCGUUAUCCGGAAUCACUGGGCGUAAAGGGUGCGUAGGCGGGUCUUUAAGUCAGGGGGGAAAUCCUGGAGCUCAACUCCAGAACUGCCUUUGAUACUGAAGAUCUUGAGUUCGGGAGAGGUGAGUGGAACUGCGAGUGUAGAGGUGAAAUGCGUAGAUAUCGUAAGGAAGACCAGUGGCGAAGGCGGGUCUCUGGACAGUUCCUGACGCUGAGGCACGAAGGUCAGGGGAGCAAACGGG